rnacentral:rRNA from 1 species
UACGUAGGGUGCGAGCGUUAAUCGGAAUUACUGGGCGUAAAGCGUGCGCAGGCGGUUCGCAAAGUCUGAUGUGAAAGCCCCGGGCUCAACCUGGGAAUUGCAUUGGAAACUAACGGGCUCGAGUGUGGCAGAGGGGGGUGGAAUUCCACGUGUAGCAGUGAAAUGCGUAGAGAUGUGGAGGAACACCGAUGGCGAAGGCAGCCCCCUGGGCUAACACUGACGCUCAGGCACGAAAGCGUGGGGAGCAAACAGG